rnacentral:lncRNA from 1 species
GGAGGCGCGGUCCUUCCAGCCUCUUGCUCCUGUGAAUCACAGGUCGGCGGGAGCCUUUUUUCCUUUUUUUUUUUUUUUUUUUCCGGGGAGUCGGCCUCGGGGCUCUGCUCUCCUACCUCAGUCUGCCCUACACUGGAAUGGGGAAAAUGCGGACAUGCUACUCAGUCCGGCCGCGAACAGUGCUCCAGAACUCAGAGAGUUUUCCAGACGGGUGGAGAUCGCGUUCCCUGCCCGCGGAGGUCCCAUCGCUUCCCUACUGGGAAGACAAAUGAGGCGCUUUAGCCGUCUCCACGGCCAGCCCCUCCCUCAUAACCCGAGAUUCCUUGUGGGCUCUUAGUCCAUAACUGCCUUUGAGGUGGUGUAGACCUUGCUAACCAGGACGGCCCAGUAGGCAGAGCUCAUUUUUAUUCCUGUCUGCAAUCGUGCAAAAACGCCUCUUAUGGAAGAGGCAGAGCGCCAGGAGUCAGCAAAACACACUAAAGAUUGGGCAGACACUGGGGAGAACAUGGCCUGAAGCAACUGAAGAUCCACAAAAGAAGUGAAAAUAGCCUUAACUGAUGAUAUUCCACCAUUGUGAUUUGUUCCUGCCCCACCCUAACUGAUACGAUAUAUUCUCCCCCGCCCUUAAGAAGACUCAGCCCGCCUGCACCCAGGUGAAAUAUACAGCCUUGUUGCUCACACAAAGCCUAUUUGGUGGUUUCUUCACACAGACGCAUGUGACAUUUGGUGCUGAAGACCCAGGACAGGAGGACUCCUUUGGGAGACCAGUCCCCUGUUAUCGCCCUCACUCCGUGAGGAGAUCCACCUAUGAUCUCAGGUCCUCAGACCAACCAGCCCAAGGAACAUCUCACCAAUUUCAAAUAGGAUAGAAGUGUGAGGCCUCUGAGUCCAAGCUAAGCCAUCACAUCCCCUGUGACCUGCACAUGUACAUCCAGAUGACCUGAAGCAACUGAAGAUCCACAAAAGAAGUGAAAAUAGCCUUAACUGAUGACAUUCCACCAUUGUGAUUUGUUCUUGCCCCACCCUAACUGAUACUAUAUAUUCUCCCCCCCGCCCUUGAGAAUGUACUUUGUACGCCUAUCCCAAAUCUAUAAGAACUGAUGAUAAUCCCACCACCCUUUGCUGACUCUCUUUUUGGACUCAGCCCGCCUGCACCCAGGUGAAAUAAACAGCCCUGUUGCUCACACAAA